rnacentral:rRNA from 1 species
GAUGAACGCUGGCGGCGUGCCUAAUACAUGCAAGUCGAGGGAACAGACCAGGAGCUUGCUCCUCUUACGUUAGCGGCGGACGGGCGCGUAACACGAGGAUAACCUACCUAUAAGACUGGGAUAACUUCGGGAAACCGGAGCUAAUACUGGUUAAUAUAUACAACCGCAUGAUUCAAUAGUGAAAGACGGUUUUGCUGUCACUUAUAGAUGGAUCCGCGCCGCAUUAGCUAGUUGGUAAGGUAACGGCUUACCAAGGCAACGAUGAGUAGCCGACCUGAGAGUGUGAUCAGCCACACUGGAAUUGAGACGCGGUCCAGACUCCUACGGGAGGCAGCAGUAGGGAAUCUUCCGCUAGGGGCUAAAGCCUGACGGAGCAACGCCGCGUGAGUGAUGAAGGUCUUCGGAUCUUAAAACUCUGUUAUUAGGGUAGAACAAAUGUGUAAGUAACUAUGCACGUCUUGACGGUACCUAAUCAGAAAGCCACGGCUAACUACGUG